UAGUCCACGCUGUAAACGAUGGUCACUCGAUAUAUGCACCUAGUGCAUGUGUCUAAGCGAAAGCAUUAAGUGACCCACCUGGGAAGUACGCUCGCAAGAGUGAAACUUAAAGGAAUUGACGGGGGUCCGCACAAGCGGUGGAACAUGUGGUUUAAUUCGAUAAUACGCGAAGAACCUUACCUAGGCUAGAAUGCAUAUCGCUAUACCAAGAGAUUGGUAGUUUCGUAAGAACGAUAUACAAGGUGCUGCAUGGCUGUCGUCAGCUCGUGCCGUGAGGUGUUUGGUUAAGUCCUGUAACGAGCGCAACCCCUAUGCUUAGUUGCCAGCACGUAAUGGUGGGAACUCUAAGCAGACUGCCUGCGAAAGCAGUGAGGAAGGUGGGGAUGAGGUCAAGUCAUCAUGGCUUUCACGCCUAGGGCUACACACGUGUUACAAUGGCGUGUACAAUGGGUCGCUACCUGGCAACAGGACGCUAAUCCCUAAAAGCACGU
rnacentral:rRNA from 1 species